AGAGUUUGAUCAUGGCUCAGGACGAACGCUGGCGGCGUGCCUAAUACAUGCAAGUCGAGCGGACUUGUCCUUCGGGACAAGUUAGCGGCGGACGGGUGAGUAACACGUAGGCAACCUGCCUGCAAGACUGGGAUAACUAUCGGAAACGGUAGCUAAGACCGGAUAGCUGGUUUUCUCGCAUGAGAGAAUCAUGAAACACG
rnacentral:rRNA from 1 species